rnacentral:lncRNA from 1 species
UUCUCCUGAAAGACUUCAAUCAAAACACUGUUGUUUCCAUUCCAUCCAGAUACACCAAGAGCCUAUGAAUAUCAAGCAGUCCACUGCUAGUAUCAUCUCCUUCGUGGGGUUGGACGAUCUCCGAUCAUUCCAUAGGUCUUAAUAAUGAAGCUGGAGCUGCCGGAGUUGCUUUGAGUACUUACACCCCAGCAGCAAAUGAUCUACUGUUUCAUUACGGUUACAGCAGAGCG